rnacentral:rRNA from 1 species
AUUGAACGCUGGCGGCAGGCCUAACACAUGCAAGUCGAACGGUAACAGGGAUCAGCUUGCUGAUUCGCUGACGAGUGGCGGACGGGUGAGUAAUGUCUGGGAAACUGCCUGAUGGAGGGGGAUAACUACUGGAAACGGUAGCUAAUACCGCAUAACGUCGCAAGACCAAAGAGGGGGACCUUCGGGCCUCUUGCCAUCGGAUGUGCCCAGAUGGGAUUAGCUAGUAGGUGGGGUAACGGCUCACCUAGGCGACGAUCCCUAGCUGGUCUGAGAGGAUGACCAGCCACCCUGGAACUGAGACACGGUCCAGACUCCUACGGGAGGCAGCAGUGGGGAAUAUUGCACAAUGGGCGCAAGCCUGAUGCAGCCAUGCCGCGUGUAUGGAGAAGGCCUUCGGGUUGUAAAGUACUUUCAGCGGGAGGAAGGGAGUAAAGUUAAUACCUUUGCUCAUUGACGUUACCCGCAGAAGAAGCACCGGCUAACUCCGUG